AUGUUGGGAGAGGGACUGCUUGGUGCCUGUGACAAGAUUCUGUAUCUCAGCAUCCCAUUCUGUGCAUUGGGAUCAUCAGCAUCGAUGGCAGUAACAGUCAUUACAUAGGUUCCUGGCUUUGAUCCUUCAGGAACUGUCCCAUUCCAAACCUGAUGCAAGAAUUCAGGUCUGUUAUCAUUCAUAUCAAUGACGUUAAUCACAAUAUCAAUAGGAUUUUCC
rnacentral:lncRNA from 1 species